CUCUUGACCUUGUGAUCCGCCCAUCUUGGCCUCCCAAAGUGCUGGGAUUACAGGAGUGAGCCACCGCACCCAGCUCUUCUUUGAGUUUUUAAGGCCACAUAAGCUGUGGAUGUUAUAGAAUUUCUUAUUUCCCUGGGCAGCAACUGGGCCUCUAUUGAGACCCAAAUGCCCUCUUCAGAGGGAACUACGAGGUCAACAAGCACAAUCCCCACAUGUGCAGUGAAGUCUCCAUACGUCCACUCUGGAGGAGGAGAUGACAAGGCAGGGAGGCUGUCAUUUCCUACUUGGGCGGACCCUUCUAGGGGCGGUCUGCUCUGGCCCCUCCGCAAUUCCAGUCAGCAGCCUAGCAUGUCACUCUGGGAGGACCGCAGGAACUAGCAAAUCCAAUAUUCUGCUUACAAAUGGAGAGACGGAGGCCCCAAGAAGAAAGCUAAGAGGUACCAUCAUCAAAGCCAGGGGUCCCCAGGGAAGCAGAGUAACAGGACAUGCGUGGAUAUGGAAGUGGACAUAAGCACGGGAAUGGAUGAAUAUGGAUAUGGAUAUUGAUAUAGAGAGAGGUCUGCCUCCACCCCAAGAGGACCUCGUGGACGUGGUGCCUCAGGCUCCACCAUCCCCAGGAGAAGAGUGCCAUGCUUGGACUCGUUUUUGCUGUUUUUGGGACAGUGGUGCCAUUCCCCUCCCGUGACUGACUCCUGCGUGCAGUCCCUAAUCUGCCCAUCACCGCCGGGGCACUGUCCACAGCAUUCUGUUGAUUUCCUCCACACUGUCUAACACAACCUGAAACAACCUCAUCUGCCCACCACGUCUCAUCUGUGCCUCCCUGCCUGGAACGGAGCUGCAGGAAGGCAGCGAUGUUUGUCUGGAGGUUCCCUGUUCGCUGGUGCGGGUCUAUGAGGAGGAAACACACAGAAACCAAAAGAUGGAAUCAGGCUGUCUCGGGCCACUUCCUUCCGCCACAGCUCUGCCUGGAGUGCCAGCCCCAGCACAGGUGAAUACACAGAACCAGCGCCUCCCUCCUGGAGCUUUCCUGGGGAGACCAGUGAGGGUGAACAAGGAAGCGGAUAGAGAACUCCCCGCAGCGUAAGUGCAGUGGGGACAUUUGUGGCAGGGAGUGCCUGGGGAGGGUGGUCGGGGAAGGCUGCCCCAAGGAGUUAUCAUCUGAGCAAGACCCAAAAUUGUAAGAAGUAGCACGCGGCGCUCCCAGGGAAGAGCAUGCCAGGCUGGAGGCCCUGCGGAGGGGACAAGUUCAGCAGCUUGGAGGACCAGAGAGAAAUCCAGCUCCUGCCUCCUAACUCACACAGCCCUGGUUAUAGCCUUUUGUUAUCACGUUGGGGCAGUUUAGGCCUCAGGAAGCUGAAUCUCAAGACCCUAAUCUGACUGUGGGUCAGAAGAUCCUCAUUCCAGGGUGGGUUCUGCCUCAUCCCCUAGAGGAAGAAAUGCUGCCGAGAAGCUGAGAAGAGUCUGGGCCAGGCGUGGUGGCUCAUGCCUGUAAUCCCAAGACUGGGAGCCCAAGGCGGGCAGAUCACCU
rnacentral:lncRNA from 1 species